rnacentral:rRNA from 1 species
AUUGAACGCUGGCGGCAGGCCUAACACAUGCAAGUCGGACGGUAGCACAGAGGAGCUUGCUCCUCGGGUGACGAGCGGCGGACGGGUGAGUAAUGUCUGGGGAUCUGCCCGAUAGAGGGGGAUAACCACUGGAAACGGUGGCUAAUACCGCAUAACGUCGCAAGACCAAAGAGGGGGACCUUCGGGCCUCUCACUAUCGGAUGAACCCAGAUGGGAUUAGCUAGUAGGCGGGGUAAUGGCCCACCUAGGCGACGGUCCCUAGCUGGUCUGAGAGGAUGACCAGCCACACUGGAACUGAGACACGGUCCAGACUCCUACGGGAGGCAGCAGUGGGGAAUAUUGCACAAUGGGCGCAAGCCUGAUGCAGCCAUGCCGCGUGUAUGAAGAAGGCCUUCGGGUUGUAAAGUACUUUCAGCGGGGAGGAAGGCGAUAAGGUUAAUAACCUUGUCGAUUGACGUUACCCGCAGAAGAAGCACUGGCUAACUCCGUGCCAGCAGCCGCCGUAA